rnacentral:rRNA from 1 species
UACAGAGGUCCCAAGCGUUGUUCGGAUUCAUUGGGCGUAAAGGGUGCGUAGGCGGCGCGGUAAGUCGGGUGUGAAAUCUCGGGGCUUAACUCCGAAACUGCAUUCGAUACUGCCGUGCUUGAGGACUGGAGAGGAGACUGGAAUUCACGGUGUAGCGGUGAAAUGCGUAGAUAUCGUAAGGAAGACCAGUGGCGAAGGCGGGUCUCUGGACAGUUCCUGACGCUGAGGCACGAAGGCCAGGGGAGCAAACGGG